GGAGUGACUAAUAUUGUAGGUUAACUAAACAUUUAAUCUCUUCUGUCUGCGGCGGUGGAGAAAUUGUAUACGGUAAACUUUCGAAUUACGAUCAAGUCUGUAUCGUUUGUUAUAAUUUUACGAAUUUAACAGUUCAUUUCUGCUCAGCUGUCAGCCCGCUAAAUCAGCUUACUAGCCGGAAAGCUAGCUAGCUAUCACAGUUGAGUUGAGAAUGAAUUGAAUAAGUACCAGGAUAGUUGUGUUGUGAUGCAGAUGCUAAAAAUCUAAAAUAUUUCUGUUUUUAUUUUAAACUAAUCUAUGUUUGAAAUUUACGAAAGGCAAUUUUCAAAUGCAGGCUAGCCAAUUGGGUGUAUUUUUUGCAUGACGUUGGACAAACGCGUCGGUGCGAUUGGCUGGUUUGCCUGUUUGUCUCACUGCAAUCCUGGACACUUGUUUUCCACACUUGACGAGCAGUGUACCCGCGGAUAAGGUCUCGGGGAGUACGAAUGUCGAUUGCAUUCGCUUCUCAACCGACUAAUGAUUCAAUGAUGCUUGACUGAAGGAUGCUGGUGCUCAUCUAGCUAGCCUAGGCCCAGAAGUGAAAGUCACUUUGAGUCAGGUAUGUUGAACAUCUGCAUUCCUACGAGCUGUCACCUACACAAGGGAGCCUGUCUGUCCACCUGCUAUCUGAGCUCAACGACACUGUCACGUUUGCUGCUUGCACCGUUGAUGGCCGGCUGCUGUUGACCCCCAAGAGAUACAUUUUACUGAGAGAGUGCUGAGUUAAUCUUGAAAAAUAUGGCAGCCGUAUCCUCUCAAGCCUUGAAACUUUGUGUCAUUGUUGAAGCUGACAGUAUAAGGAAGAUUAAACUUGACACCCUCCCUGAGUCUGUUGAUGACCUGAAAAGCAUUUUGAAGGACAAGCUCAAGUUGGAUGCAGACUUUAGCAGUACGAAGACCCUGAUUUUGAUGGAGAACUUAUCUCCCUAGUGGACAUUGACGAGUUGCCACAGAAAGCUACACUGAAACUUUUCAUGGCAGAGGUGGAAACAGUUCUAUUUCAACUACAGACACAGAGUUGCUGUCAGAUGUGUCCUCUCCAGAGCGACUUAGUAGAUGGCUGCCAGGUAUUUUUCCCAUGCCCACUUUUGCUUAUGAGGUAGAAUUGAAGCUCAGAGAAGGAAACACUGUCUUUGAAAGAAACGGAAAGUGUCUUCAGUUAUCUAGAGAUCAAAAGCAUGACAUCCUAGUGAAACUUG